CUUUCAACAACGGAUCUCUUGGUUCCAGCAUCGAUGAANAACGCAGCGAAAUGCGAUAACUAAUGUGAAUUGCANAAUUCAGUGAAUCAUCGAGUCUUUGAACGCACAUUGCGCCCCUCGGUAUUCCGGGGGG
rnacentral:rRNA from 1 species